rnacentral:rRNA from 1 species
GUACGAGAGGACCGGGAUGGACAUAACUCUGGUGUACCAGUUGUCGUGCCAACUGCAUAGCUGGGUAGCUAUGUAUGGACGGGAUAAGUGCUGAAAGCAUCUAAGCAUGAAGCCCCCCUCAAGAUGAGAUUUCCCAACUUCGGUUAUAAGAUCCCUCGAAGAUGACGAGGUUAAUAGGUUCGAGGUGGAAGCGUGGUGACACGUGGAGCUGACGAAUACUAAUCGAUCGAAGACUUAAUCAAUUU